UACGGAGGCAGCGAGCGUUGUUCGGAAUUACUGGGCGUAAAGAGUGUGUAGGCGGUGCUCUAAGUUCGGUGUGAAAUCUCCCGGCUUAACUGGGAGGGUGCGCCGGAAACUGGAGUGCUCGAGCGUGGGAGAGGAAAGCGGAAUUCCUGGUGUAGCGGUGAAAUGCGUAGAUAUCAGGAGGAACACCUGCGGUGUAGACGGCUUUCUGGACCAUUGCUGACGCUGAGACACGAAAGCGUGGGUAGCAAACAGG
rnacentral:rRNA from 1 species